CCGCUCCGCUCGGCCCCGCCGCCGCCGGACCCCAGCCCGGAGAAUGGGGGGGGACGCGUCUUGGCAGUGGGAGCAACUAUUCUCAAGAGCUGGUGCUCUGCUUUGGUGAGUCAAUGGAACCACAUGCACUCUGUUUACUAGAGUGCAGAAUGUGCUCGUGCCUUGCUACUUCCCGGCAUGAGUGACUUUGCCUUUAUGAAGCUCUAUGCAUACGAGAUGACGGUGGAAACUCGUCUCUGUAAGGCCAACACCUGAGCUACUGACGAAGGGAGUCUGCAGUGCAGUUGAGGUCUCAGCCCUGUGCCUUCAACCACUCUGGAGUAAUGCUGGGAGGAGCUCUCAGAUUGAUCCUUUCCAUAGCUUCCAAGGAUUUUUAGGAUUAUGGGAUUUAUGGACCUGCAAAAUCCUCUGGAGAACGUCAGCCACCCACAAAACCAUCUGGAAAUUCUCCCUAUCUUUCCUGGGUCACUGAGUGUUGGAAGGAGGCAUCUCUGCUCUGAGGAUUACAGCAAAUCAGUCGCUUGCCAUCCUUACUGGAAUACCUCCCCUUUCAGUUGCUCGGAACAGAGAAAUUAUUGCAGAAGGCAGAAGAAUAUUUUUUCCCUUUCUCUGAGCUUUUGCAGUGCAGCAGUGGCCAUGUCUGGGAUGCUGCUGCGUCACUUGCAUUCUUCACCCCUCCUGCCUUGUUGGGAAGGAGCAACCCUCCGAAGCCGGCGGUCUCGCUUGACUGAAAAAAGGAGAAAGGAGGAGUGUGUGCAGGGAGUUCAGGUCCCGCUGUGGCUUCUUGGGAAGUGAGGUUCAUCCACUAUUUGGAUUAUGAAGUUUGAUGGGCUGUGAUUUGGCUCAGAUUUACAUUAUUUGGAAAAAUAUUCUGAACUCUCCAGACAGCCCCUGCCACAGACUUUCAGAACUGGCUGGUGUUAAGUGUUUAUUUCCAGUCACACCAGGAGAGGGGAUGGAGUUGGAUACUUUCUAGAAGAAGUAAAAAUCAAUACUGUGUUGCUGUCAGAAGUGCUUAAAGGGAGAAAAGCCUGGAGUGUAGCUCUCAUUUUGGAGAGAUUGAUUUUUACUCAGAAGAUUGUACAAGAUACAGGAGGAAAGAGAAGAUGUGAUCCUGCAGACCUGCAUCCUCACCUCUGCAGUGGGACUGAGGCUUCAAAAGAUCUGGAAAGUAUGAGCAGCAAGAGAAGCUUAAUCACCAUUAGAUAAGUAUUACAGAUGACUCAUGCUAGAAUAUCAACAGCUGUGCAGCUGACAUGAAUAUAUUUGUACCAAGAGCCAGGAACCUUAACCCACCCUGUGCUUUCCCACUAACACGCUUUGGUUCUCUAGCACCUUUUACCCCCUGAUUUGUACACCUAAACAGCUCACAGAAGUGUUUUUGCCUCCUUGAGGGGUUACAAGGUACAGGAUAGCUCAUGUCACUUGAAACCAAAUUACAAGAUGUCAUCUUAAAAUGAAAGCUGGUGAUGAAUGGCUUCAGUGUUGUAGCUGUUUUCUAGGACAACUUGCAGUUUGUCUUUUUAAUAGAGGCAGUUAAUGGCUUUCCUCAAUUCUUUGUGGUUUUUGUUUGUUUUCUUUUCAGAAUCAUUGACUCCUUUUCCAGCACCACAGCUCCAGAAGUCCAGAGCAGGGACUCGCACUGUGCUUCAUUUCAGAGGGAUCCAGUGAAUUAACAUAUUGUUGCUGCUACUUUGGUAAUUGCAUGCCCAGGGUCUGCUCUGCUCCGACUCAGUCUGCCUGGUUUCCCAGACAGAAACCAUCCUUCUGUAUCAAACAAGGCUGCAAAGUAUUGCCCAGAGACAUUGCUUCAACGAAGGAGGACGGGGUGGGAGGAGGAGGGGGAGAUUGUUUCCAAAGGCACAACUGGCUCCAAGACCUCGCUUCUCCAGGAGGAAGAGGAGAUUGGACACCAACAGAGGUUCCUUGACUACUGCUUCCCAAACUGUUCCUUUCAAAUGGAGAUGGACAGUUUGCGGGUCAUGGUGGGACUGGAGGCAGAAGUGGGAUUUAUUAUGUCCUGAGGGGAAUGUUUUCUAACUAUGGAAGCACUACAGAGGAGCUGCACCGUGGGCUGCUGACCCCAGGGUGGGGACAUUUUUAACUUCUCAGCUAAAGUUGGAGAAACUGACAAAAAGAACAAGAAAAGCUGGCUAUUGGACAGAUCAUAUUGGGAGAAUUGUAAUUCCUCCUAUUGGGAGCCCAAAGCAGAAGACUGUCAGUUGGAGUCAGGAUAGAAGGGAUCUUCCACCUCUUCCCACCUGCACUGACAUCAGGACACUUCUCUGCAUUAGUAAGACGCCUGAAUUAAUACACUGCAGUUUGCUGUUAGGACUUCCAGGCUCUGAUGAGCACAAGCGGUGUCACCUUCUCAGGAUGCUAUCCAAGACAGAAUCACAGUGGGAUAACUACCAUCAAAUGGGGUCAACAGUCCAGUUCUGCCAUGAAAAGUGCAUUGCUGACAUCUACUGCAGUCUUCUGGCUUUUUUCCAAGGUUUCCCCUCCAGCUGAAAUCCCAGCUGAAAACAGGGAUGAAUAUAACAUAACAAAUGAACAACAUAGCUAAUUAGUAAUUAAAAUAUCUUACAGCAGGUACUUUCACAUAGAAUUUCAAAUUUCCUUAUGAAUUCAGCUUCUGAAAGGUGCAGACAUAUCCAGUGAAAUGACAGAGCCAAAUAACAAGGUUUAAAAUAUGUGUUUGUGACAGAUGUAUUAGAAACAGGGUUUAGAGAGGAAGAGAAUCAGGUUUAAUGGACUCUGACAAAAUUCCAUCACAGUGAGUCACAUUUUAAUAGAAACAGAAUAAAAGAAAGCAAGGGUGGGGAAAAGACAUGGGUGAAAAUCGGAGGUCACCUGCAUUGUGAUAACUGAAGUUUUGGAAAUGAAUCAUCACACUAGGCAGUGGAAGGUUUCACCUCGGGCUGUGACAGGAAAUGCACUGCUCUGUGCAGAACAUUUCAGGCUCUCGAUCAGUUGCUAUUGAUUGGGAAAGUACAGUUGCACCCAGAAAGUCUUAGCUUUUCUCUCAUUUUCAGUUCGACAGAAAGGAAAAUCUCAAGCAGCCAUUUUCAGCUUCUCUUUCUCGGAAGAAAUGGGGAGUGGGAGGGGAGUUCACAGGGGGAAGACACAAAACUUACAGUUUUAGUUUUAGUACGAGAUUUAGUAAAUCUCGUACUACCAGUGUCCUAAACAGAGAAAAACAGAAACAAAACCACCUUACUUGAAAGAAGUCCCUAUGUAUGUCUGAGAGAGACCUUCAGGGAGAUCCUUCAAGGACCCUUGUUUAUUCAUAACCACAUAGCUAUCAAGUGAAUUCCUGUCUGGGCAUGAAAUUUCCUGGGAUGGGACUUGACCAGAAGAUGAGCUUAUUUCUGGAGUUUAUAAGACAGAGGAUUCCAAAGUUCUGCCAUGCACAGGCAAUAUUGCUGUGACUUCUUCUGGCUCUGUGACAUACUACAGCACAAGUCAGAGUGGCUCACACCUCAUCAGUUGUAAACUUGUUUUGGUAACCCUUGCUCAUAUGUAUCUGGAUGUGUUUGUAUGAACAUAUACAGAACAAGCCAACAUAUCUUCUUGAUGUGGUACAACCAUGUAUAGGUUGUACAUCAAAAUAAAAAUGGUCUGCAGGUUGAAGGAAGUGAUCCGGCCCUCUACUCUGGUGAGACCUCACCUGGAGUACUGCGUCCAGACAUGGAGUCCUCAGUACAGGAGAGACAUAGACCUGUUGGAUUGCAUCCAGGGCAGGGCCACAAAAAUGAUACAAGAGAUGGAACACUUCUCCUAGGAGAACAGGCUGAGAGAGCUGGGGCUCUUCAGCCUGGAGAAGAGAAGGCUCCAAGGA